UUUGUGAUUUUCUAGCUGACUGCUGCCAUGACAUGUGCCUCUAAGUGGAACUUAGCCUGAGUGAGACAAAAAGCCCUCCAACCAUGAGAAUGAGCUGACCACUCCCAUGACGCAAGCUUUAGCAGUGAAAUGAAGCCUACUUGCAAAUACUUGAUUGCCCACAAUGACCUGCCUUCGUUUCAAAUAUAAGAGGGAAGUACCAAUAACUACACACACAGUGCAGUAGGCUCAUACUGUAUAUGGAUGUGUACAUUCUAACAUGCCUUGUUAAGUAAUUUGUUUGGCGGCAGAUGCAGUCACAUGUAGAUGCAGUUGUUUGUACCGAACAGGUACAACCUGUUAGUUUAGUUAGUACUUGUUAGUUUGAGUGACUGAGCCUGAUUUCUCCCUGAAUUUACCGUACUGGAAGUCCUUCCACUCAAAUUUGCAUAAAUUCAGAGCACAUGUUUGUUUAUUCUCUUUGUGCUCCACAAACCUAGAAAAAAAUUCCCGAAAGCUUUACGCUGUAUUCAUAGCCCCAAAAGCUCCAUAAAAUGUGAACCAGUAAUGAAGCCCUGUGUCAUUUCAGCCUGCAUGCAGACCUAGUCUCCAUCACGGAAGUUUUACAGGAUGGGAUAUGACACUGGCCAUCAGGGAGUGUUUGGCCAUCCUUGUAGGCUCUUCAUUUGAGGUUCCAGCAUGGUGUGCCAACAACCACGCCAUACACUGUAUGCAACGGGAUAGGAUGACAAAAGCGAAGGAUAAGUAGCCUAUAUGAAGUCCGUGGCCUAUGGCAUGGCCACACGGCUGCGAACAGGUGUGUCACAUGGCAAACGUGCAUUUCCUAACAUACUUCUCUUUCUUUUUGGCAGGGCAU